GGAGGCCCUGGCUCAAGACCUGCGAAAGUUUCCCGCCAGAGACCUAGGCUGUGUGUUGCUCCAGUAUGUCAACGACCUCCUGCUGGGACACCCCACAGCAAUUGGGUGCGCCAAAGGAACAGACGCCCUGCUCUGACACCUGGAGGACUGUGAUCAAGUGUGGAUCAAGGAUUGGAAUGUAGUCCCCUUGUGACCACGGUGGAAAGACCCCAGACCGUCAUCUUGACCACCCCCACAGCUGUAAAGGUUGAAGGAAUCCAAGCCUGGAUCCACCACAGCCAUGUGAAACCUGCAGCCUCUGAGACCUGGAAGGUGAGACCAAGCCCAGACAACCCCUGCAAAGUGACUCUGAGAAGGACGACAAGCCCUGCUGCAGUCACACCCAGAAGCUGACUCAUCUAUGCACAGCCAAAGCAUGAGGAAACUCAUCGUGGGACUUAUUCUCCUUAAAAUUUGGACUUAUGUAAUAAGGACUUCCACUGAUUUUCCCCACAUGGAGGACUGUUCCCAAUGUAUUCAUCAGGUCACUGAGUAGGGCAACAAGUUAAAACAGUUUCUGUUUUAUAGUUAUUAUUGUUGCGGGACAAUCAAAGAUGGGAGAGACCAAACAAAGUGAGUUCAGGAAAGGUCUUUAUUAAAAGAUGAUCACUUGGCUCAGUAGGAUUAGUGUACAGGAAAGUCUGAGCCCUGGACAAAGAAAGCAGCCACCUUUUAAGCAGUCAGUGGCUGGGAGCUACGUGAUGCAGGAAGCACACUUAGAGAAGCAAGAACAAAGGCAGUUGAUCAGUCUUUUACAUUUAUCUAUAUUACAUGUUCCAAAUCCUUGGGAAACCAUGUUUCUGUAUAAACCUUGUAACUUUGCAGCUGCACGGGGGAGGUGAAGCAGAAACUCGCUGAGCCUCAAGGAAUGUGAAACUAGCAAGUACAGAUAAG
ensembl:lncRNA novel transcript